UACGUAGGGGGCAAGCGUUGUCCGGAUUCAUUGGGCGUAAAGAGCGUGUAGGCGGCCAGGUAGGUCGGUUGUGAAAACUGGAGGCUCAACCUUCAGACGUCGACCGAAACCAUCUGGCUAGAGUCCGGGAGAGGAGAGUGGAAUUCCUGGUGUAGCGGUGAAAUGCGCAGAUAUCAGGAAGAACACCCGUGGCGAAAGCGGCUCUCUGGAACGGUACUGACGCUGAGACGCGAAAGCGUGGGGAGCGAACCGG
rnacentral:rRNA from 1 species